GUACAGCCAGCAGACAGACAUAAGGACAAGACACACAACAAUACAGCAAAACAUGAAAUACCCACAGUAUCUAAAACACAAUAGUAAAUAAAUAAAUACAUUUAAAACAGUUUUGGCAAAUUGUUUAAAAUGGAAAUGGAAGUUGGGAUAAAAGGGUUUCUGAGUCUAUUGGACCUGCAUCUGGGCACGGAGUACCUACGGCCUGAGGGAAGGAGCUUAAACUGGCAGGACAAGGGGGGGCUAGGGUUAGCUGCAAUGGAUUGGGCCUUCUUUGCCGCUCUGUUGGAGUAGAUGUGGGAGAGAGUGGGGAAGGUGAUGCCUGCAAUCUUGCUACAUGUCCUGACGGUACUCUCUAGUCGUUUUUAGUUUUUUAUGGACAGAGAACCAAACCAGCAAACAGAAGGUUAAAACAGACUCAAUAAAGCAGGAAUAAAACAUUCUCAUAAAAGUGGGGUCAAUGUUAAAAUUCUUCAGUUUU